UACGGAGGGGGCUAGCGUUGCUCGGAAUCACUGGGCGUAAAGCGCACGUAGGCGGCUUUCUAAGUCAGGGGUGAAAUCCUGGAGCUCAACUCCAGAACUGCCUUUGAUACUGGAGAGCUCGAGUCCGGAAGAGGUGAGUGGAACUCCGAGUGUAGAGGUGAAAUUCGUAGAUAUUCGGAAGAACACCAGUGGCGAAGGCGGCUCACUGGUCCGGUACUGACGCUGAUGUGCGAAAGCGUGGGGAGCAAACAGG
rnacentral:rRNA from 1 species